rnacentral:lncRNA from 1 species
GAGCCAAGUCUGCCUCAUCCGUGAUGACUCCAUCCAGAGCCACAAGCAUUGCCCAGACACGCUCAGCCCUCACAAGGUGGAGCUCUGGAAUCCCAGGGCUCUGUUGUUUUGGAUCCUCUCAAGGUCCUGAAGCACCAAUCAGUCGCCUCUGCUGCUCAAAGGGAAGAAAGCCAGGCACAGUCCUUAAGACAGAGUCUUACAUCUUUGGAAGCUGGUACAAGCACUCUGGAAAUCAGUUUAGCGGUUCCUCAGAAAAUUGGACAUAUUUUGAAGCUAACGAUAUUCCCUAAGCCUUAAUUUAACUGAAGCUUCAGAUUUCAAAAUGUUAUAUCUUGCUCUUUCUGGGUCUACUUGUUUAUUUCCAUUACAACAGAUUGUUUAAAGAGAUGUUAUUUAGUUUAUGAUUUUUUCCUACUAUCUUACUGACUUCUAAUGUAAUCCCACACAGUCAGAGAACAUGCUCUACACAGUAUCAGCCCUUGUAACUGCAUGGCUGAGAUAUUGUGUCAUGUGCACUGA